rnacentral:ncRNA from 1 species
CACCUGGUUGAUCCUGCCAGUAGUCAUAUGCUUGUCUCAAAGAUUAAGCCAUGCAUGUCUAAGUAUAAGCUUUAAACGGCGAAACUGCGAAUGGCUCAUUAAAACAGUUAUAGUUUAUUUGGUGAUCGAUUACUAUUUGGAUAACCGUAGUAAUUCUAGAGCUAAUACAUGCGUCAAGGCCCGACUUCGGAAGGGCUGCGUUUAUUAGAUACAGAACCAACCUAGGCUCCGCCUAGUCCUUGUUGGUGAUUCAUAAUAACCCGGCGAAUCGCACGGCUUGUCCGGCGAUGGACCAUUCAAGUUUCUGACCUAUCAGCUAUGGACGGUAGGGUAUUGGCCUACCGUGGCGUUGACGGGUAACGGGGAAUUAGGGUUCGAUUCCGGAGAGGGAGCCUGAGAAACGGCUACCACAUCUAAGGAAGGCAGCAGGCGCGCAAAUUACCCAAUCCUGAUACAGGGAGGUAGUGACAAGAAAUAACAAUACAGGGCAAUUCUGUCUUGUAAUUGGAAUGAGUAGAUUUUAAAUCUCUUUACGAGUAUCAAUUGGAGGGCAAGUCUGGUGCCAGCAGCCGCGGUAAUUCCAGCUCCAAUAGCGUAUAUUAAAGUUGUUGCGGUUAAAAAGCUCGUAGUUGGAUUUCUGCCUUGGGCGACCGAUCCACCUUUCCUACGGGAUUGGUUGGUAUCAGGUUUGACCUUGGCUUUUUCUUGGGAUUCGUGCUCACGUACUUAACUGUGCGUUGACCGUGUUCCAAGACUUUUACUUUGAGGAAAAUAGAGUGUUUCAAGCAGGGCUUAUGCCAUGAAUACAUUAGCAUGGAAUAAUAGGAUAUGACUUCCGUCAUAUUUUGUUGGUUUCUAGGACUGAAGUAUGAUAAUAGGGACAGUCGGGGGC